rnacentral:pre_miRNA from 1 species
AGUAGAGGUUGGUGCAAAAGUAAUUGCGGUCUUUGCCGUUACUUUCAAUGAUAAAGGCCACUAUUACUUUUGCCCCAAACCUAUAUU